CGAGCCGAGCCUGGUACGGAGUUACUACUGUGCAAUCCCCCGGUAAGAACUCCAUACCUCGCUCGGCUCGGG